rnacentral:tRNA from 1 species
AGGAUGUAUAGCUUGGAGAUGCUUCGAAUUUCGAGCGUUCGAUUUAUCCGCGUACCGAUCGUCGACGUCCUCC